rnacentral:siRNA from 1 species
UACCGCAAGAUCAAAGUUCACGU